rnacentral:rRNA from 1 species
AUUGAACGCUGGCGGCAUGCUUUACACAUGCAAGUCGAACGGUAACAGGUUAAGCUGACGAGUGGCGAACGGGUGAGUAAUGCAUCGGAACGUGCCCGAUCGUGGGGGAUAACGCAGCGAAAGCUGCGCUAAUACCGCAUACUAUCUGAGGAUGAAAGCGGGGGACCGUAAGCCCUCGCGCGAUCGGAGCGGCCGAUGUCAGAUUAGGUAGUUGGUGGGGUAAAGGCUCACCAAGCCAACGAUCUGUAGCUGGUCUGAGAGGACGACCAGCCACACUGGGACUGAGACACGGCCCAGACUCCUACGGGAGGCAGCAGUGGGGAAUCUUGGACAAUGGGCGAAAGCCUGAUCCAGCAAUGCCGCGUGCAGGAAGAAGGCCUUCGGGUUGUAAACUGCUUUUGUACGGAGCGAAAAGGCCCUCUCUAAUACAGUGGGCUCAUGACGGUACCGUAAGAAUAAGCACCGGCUAACUACGUGCCAGCCGCCGCUGUAA